rnacentral:snRNA from 1 species
GGAGAUGAGAGCCAUCUGGCUGCAACAUCUCUCACCCUACUGAUCACCAGGGUUGAUUCAGCGGAUCUGGCUGGGUAGGCAGGUGUCUCUUUCAUCCCUCACUACUCCAUGUGUGUCCUUCCCCAAAGAUGCACAUUUGGCCAAAGAGGAAAACUUUCCUUCCAAAAAGAUGGACCAAAUAGAGAUAGUCAAGGAUCUAUGAGUAGCUGUGGCCCCUGCUAGAACCUCUGAACUAGCUCUCAAGGAAUGCAGCUCUGAGAAUGACGUGGGGAAAGAACAAACAAGCAUUCAAGCACAAGGU